rnacentral:SRP_RNA from 1 species
CGUGAAAUAUUCUCCGCAGGCAUUCGUGUUGAGGUCCCGGUCUCGCGCAAUGGAAGCCUGUGAACCAUGUCAGGCGGGGAACCGAGCAGCAUUAAGCGGGACGAAAUGUGCCGCGAGGGCUCCGGUUCGGAGCGGAUGCUUGCGGAGAGUAUUUCAUG